UACGGAGGGUGCGAGCGUUGUCCGGAAUCACUGGGCGUAAAGGGCGCGUAGGUGGCUUUUCAAGCGCGCGGUGAAAGCCCGGGGCUCAACCCCGGGUCGGCCGUGCGGACUGGGAGGCUCGAGUCCGGUAGGGGAGUGUGGAAUUCCCGGUGUAGCGGUGAAAUGCGCAGAUAUCGGGAGGAACACCAGUAGCGAAGGCGGCACUCUGGGCCGGUACUGACGCUGAGGAGCGAAAGCGUGGGGAGCGAACAGG
rnacentral:rRNA from 1 species